GCGAGAUCACCAGGUUCCUGUGGCCAAAGGAGGCAGAGCUGCUCCUAAAAACCUGGCUUCCCCAGGAAGGUUCUGAGCGAAGUCACAUUCUGGUAUGGUGGGCAGAAGCAGAGCCCAGGAGGGCAGCUGGGGCCCAGCAGAACGUCUCUUGCCUCUGCCCAAGUAUCGGACUCUGUCUUCCCCAGGCGCUGCUGCGAUGGAGGGCCUACCUGCUACAUACUUGCCUCCCACUGAGGGUGAGUGCUAGGGCCUGGCCACUACCCCCCUUGCCCUCCAGCAGCUUCCUUGGCAAGGGUUUUCAUCUGCAGUUGUCCUCUUGUCCUUAUGUGAUCUGGCUUUCCAACAGCACUGGAAUUCAGGCAGCAGACAGGAGGAGGUCUUAGCAGGCCUGCCUCUGGGGUCCAGGCUGCACGAAAGACUGAGGACCCACCAGAGCAUGGGAACGCACACCUGUGAUCUCAGGGCUGUGGGAGGCUGAGACAGGAGGAUCACAAGUUCGAGCCCAGCCUGGGCAACUGAGUGACUUAGUGAGACCCUGUCUUAAAAUAUAAAAUAAAAGGAGCUAGGGAUGUACCUCAGUGUGGAGGCCCUGGGUUCAAUUCCUAGUACUGCCAAAGAAAAAGACAACUGGGGUCCCAGGAAGGUGGCUCUUGGGGUUUGCUCAGUUGAACAUCAAUCACUCCCUAGGUGGAUUGCACUUUCAGCUACCUAGAGGUCCAGGCCAUGGCACUGCAGGAGACACCCCCUCAGGUUACCUUUGAGCUGGAGUCCCUGCCUGAGCUGGUCCUAGAAUUUCCUGGUGUGGCCACCGUAGAACAGCUGGCCCAGCAUGUGGCUUCAGCCAUCAAGAAGGUCUUCCCUCGCUCAACCCUUGGGAAGCUAUUCCGGAAGCCCACACCCACCUCAAUGCUGGCUCGGCUAGAGAGAAGUAACCCCUCAGAGUCCAUGGCCCCCAGGAGCCCCUGUGGUGGCUUCUUGGAGACAUAUGAGGCUCUGUGUGACUACAAUGGCUUCCCUUUCCGAGAAGAGAUUCAGUGGGAAGUGGACACCAUCUAUCAUCGUCAAGGAUGCCGCCAGUUCAGCCUAGGAGAUUUCAGUCACCUUGGCAGCCGGGACCUGGCCUUGAGUGUGGCUGCCCUGUCCUACAACCUGUGGUUCCGGUGCCUCUCUUGUGUGGACAUGAAGCUGAGCCUUGAGGUCUCAGAACAGAUUCUACACAUGAUGGGUCAGUCAUCCCACCUGGAAGAGCUAGUGCUGGAGACCUGUGGCUUGAGAGGAGACUUUGUCCGUCGACUGGCCCAGGCACUGGCAGGACAUUCGAGCUCUGGGCUUCGAGAACUCAGCUUGGCGGGGAACCUGGUGGAUGAUAGAGGCAUGGCUGCACUCAGCAGGCACUUAGAGCAUCGUCCAGGAGCCCUCAGGAGACUCAACCUAGCGCAGACAGGAUUGACACCUCGAGGAAUGAGGGCUCUGGGCCAGGCACUGGCCACCAAUGCUGCCUUUGACUCUGCCCUGACCCAUCUGGACCUUUCUUGUAAUCCUGGGGCACUAGGGGCCUCAGAGGACAAUGGAGGCCUCUAUAGUUUCCUGAGUCGUCCUAACGCUUUGAUGUUCCUGAAUCUCGCAGGCACAGACGCUGCCCUGGAUACUGUGAGGGGUGUUCAUGCGGGGAUGAUCAGCCGGGCUCGGAAGCUCAAGCUGGGUUGA
rnacentral:lncRNA from 1 species